rnacentral:rRNA from 1 species
GGGAAACCGGAGCUAAUACCGGAUAAUAUAUUGAACCGCAUGGUUCAAUAGUGAAAGACGGUUUUGCUGUCACUUAUAGAUGGAUCCGCGCCGCAUUAGCUAGUUGGUAAGGUAACGGCUUACCAAGGCAACGAUGCAUAGCCGACCUGAGAGGGUGAUCGGCCACACUGGAACUGAGACACGGUCCAG